UCCUAUUCUCUUCCUCUCUCCUCUCUUGGCCGCGUCCCUCUCUCUCUCCCCGUCCCCUAUCCUUUUCUUCUUCUUCCCUCUGCAAUCACCGGAGAACACCAUCUCUGGCCACCAUACAACGUCACUGCCACCCCCAAUCGACACAGCACCUAAACCCAACCAAAGCCCAAGCCUCACCAUCGACAUGCACUGCCGGCAGCCUCCAUAAGCGACAACCCAAGGGUGCGAUGCCAAUGUUCCUCGACCCUCGCCGGUUUCGGGUGAUUUCCUUGCCCUUUCGCCACCGUCAUUCUACUCAGCAAGCAAAGCGAAGCAAAACCCAGAAACUCCUCUUUGCCGCUGACGCCUGACGAUACCGUUCAAGCAUCACCAGAGGUCUCAACUCUGCAUGCCUUCGAUCUCCAAUUUCCAACUCGAAUUGAGCUCAACGACUUCCCUAAUCGGAAUCAGAGCCUUGUCAACCACCAAAACCCCAUAGUUUCAAUCUCUGGUUCCAACCAGAGACGCCGCACCCGCCACCACUGGUGCAUGGACCACCGUAGCUCCGCCUUUCACGGUUGCCGGAUUUUCAGGACUUCUCGGUUAGGUUUGUGGAAUCUGCGUUUUUGAAGAUUUUGGAGAAGAAGGAAUUGUUGGGUCAGUUUAGAUUUGAAUCGGAAAUGGUGUUAAAACGAUUGUGGUGGUGACUUGUUGCAUUGAAGAAUUGAUCUCUGAAUCUGAAAAGAAGAAUGAUAAGGGUCUGGGCACUUGAAACUAUCUUGCCGUAUAUUGCAUGUACUUGGUGAAGUUCUAUUUUUGUAGAACGUUCGAAAUGAAAGUGGUAGGUGUUGUUUGAAUGGUGUAGGAAACUUUGCAUGAUAGUGGAAAAGGAUGAAAUCAGUUUAGUAUAGAGGAAAUUGGUCUUGUGAAUUAGCAAAAAUUCGUUAUCAACAUUGAAAUGUAAAAUAAGAAUGUCUAUAACUAUCAUUUCGGAUACCACGGUUGUAAGAAAGAAGUGAGUUGGUUAUUGUUAACGAAAAUGUAAAUUGCUCAAGUU
rnacentral:lncRNA from 1 species